GUGGAUGUUUAUUUUAGGCGGUUGGUUUUUGUAGCUUUUCAUGCGUUAAUUGAGCAUGUUUGUGUUACAGUAGUAGACUUGUAGUUGGUAGACCAAAAUAUUCUUUAAAUACCGUGUACAUCAGGUAACACGGUAGCGACUGCUGAGACUUUUUACGUCAUCGCUGAACGAGAAGUGGUGUGUUCCUGUAGAUCGUUUUUUGAAGCGGUAGCUUUUCAGUUUGCUUCGUUCUAUGUUUUCAACAUAGAAUAUCCAAAGAAGGCCUUGCUGACGUUUGAUUUUAUUCAGAGGUUCUUCGGUGACAUAAACCCCAGAGGCACUAAGUCGAAAUAAAGUAAAGGCAAAGACGUUCAUGCAAAAGUAAUCGGCCUUGCAAGAAGAGUGAAU